GGGAGGUUGGCGGCGGACGUAUCCCUCGCCAACCGGGUCAGGUCCGGAAGGAAGCAGCCCUAACGAUCAGGACACGGGUCACUGACCAGCCUCCCGCU
rnacentral:SRP_RNA from 1 species